rnacentral:rRNA from 1 species
UGGCUUCGACGGGUAGCCGGCCUGAGAGGGUGACCGGCCACACUGGGACUGAGACACGGCCCAGACUCCUACGGGAGGCAGCAGUGGGGAAUAUUGGACAAUGGGCGGAAGCCUGAUCCAGCAACGCCGCGUGAGGGAUGACGGCCUUCGGGUUGUAAACCUCUUUCAGUACCGACGAAGCGCAAGUGACGGUAGGUACAGAAGAAGCACCGGCCAACUACGUGCCAGCAGCCGCGGUAAUACGUAGGGUGCGAGCGUUGUCCGGAAUUAUUGGGCGUAAAGGGCUCGUAGGCGGUUUGUCGCGUCGGGAGUGAAAACCAGGUGCUUAACACCUGGCUUGCUUCCGAUACGGGCAGACUAGAGGUAUUCAGGGGAGAACGGAAUUCCUGGUGUAGCGGUGAAAUGCGCAGAUAUCAGGAGGAACACCGGUGGCGAAGGCGGUUCUCUGGGAAUAUCCUGACGCUGAGGAGCGAAAGUGUGGGGAGCGAACAGGAUUAGAUACCCUGGUAGU